rnacentral:lncRNA from 15 species
AGGAGAAACACAAGAGCUGAGGGUGAUGUAUACUUUAGUUAAGGAAGGAAGAGGAUUCUGCUAUUAGGUGGAAUGUGGUAACUGUGAGAAAGGAGAGGAGGGGGAAGAGGCAGAGCGAGUGCAAGAGAGGCAGGCGGGGAGGGGGGGAGCUAGGUUGCUGACUCGGAGCUUUGCCGCGGUGAGCUUUGAGCUAGCGACUCUCUGAGCUCUCUGGCUGUGUGUGUCUGUAGGCUGCUGUGGUGCAGACCGUAGCCUAGCCACGUUAGCCUCCUUCCACCACUUCCACAGUUCAGUCAGCCGGCGGCUCCGGUGUGCUUCAGCUGCAGUUAGGCACUACAGUCUGUAAGUGUCUCUGCCUGUAGCUGAGGAUUUCCUUCCGCUGCCAGGAUUCUCUCCUUUUGGCCAAGGCAGAGAGAGAGAAAGAGAGGGACAGAGAGUAAGAGGAGAAGAAGAGGAAGACAGGAGGGGGAAGAGCGACAGCGGGCCGGCAGUGACCUUCGCGGUGUUGUGGCAAAGCAGAGGAGGAGGAACGGCCAUAGGAUCCAUCAGGUGUUGGAAAGCUCCUUGCCAAACCACAGAUGACAGUAUACAACUGUUUCCACCGGCUCAGCAGUACCACCCAUGGCUGGUAAAUUGACUGUGACAUUAAAAAACAUGGUGGCGUGCUCCUUUAAAGUAAAUGUAUUUUCUGUCACAGAAACGUUUGUGGGAUUAAAGAGUGGUGUCAUGUGGCAUUUAGUGACAGGACAGAUCAUUACACUCUGACACACACUAUAUACAGUACACUCACUGGUCUCUCAUUGG